rnacentral:rRNA from 1 species
AUUGAACGCUGGCGGCAUGCCUUACACAUGCAAGUCGAACGGCAGCACGGGAGCAAUCCUGGUGGCGAGUGGCGAACGGGUGAGUAAUGCAUCGGAACGUGCCAUUGAGUGGGGGAUAACGUAGCGAAAGUUACGCUAAUACCGCAUAUUCUGUGCGCAGGAAAGCAGGGGAGUCGCAAGACCUUGCGCUGAUUGAGCGGCCGAUAUCAGAUUAGCUAGUUGGUGAGGUAAAGGCUCACCAAGGCGACGAUCUGUAGCGGGUCUGAGAGGAUGAUCCGCCACACUGGAACUGAGACACGGUCCAGACUCCUACGGGAGGCAGCAGUGGGGGAAUUUUGGACAAUGGGGGCAACCCUGAUCCAGCCAUGCCGCGUGAGUGAAGAAGGCCUCGGUU